AUUGAACGCUGGCGGCAGGCCUAACACAUGCAAGUCGAGCGGAUGAAGGGAGCUUGCUCCUGGAUUCAGCGGCGGACGGGUGAGUAAUGCCUAGGAAUCUGCCUGGUAGUGGGGGAUAACGUCCGGAAACGGGCGCUAAUACCGCAUACGUCCUGAGGGAGAAAGUGGGGGAUCUUCGGACCUCACGCUAUCAGAUGAGCCUAGGUCGGAUUAGCUAGUUGGUGGGGUAAAGGCCUACCAAGGCGACGAUCCGUAACUGGUCUGAGAGGAUGAUCAGUCACACUAGAACUGAGACACGGUCCAGACUCCUACGGGAGGCAGCAGUGGGGAAUAUUGGACAAUGGGCGAAAGCCUGAUCCAGCCAUGCCGCGUGUGUGAAGGAGGUCUUCGGAUUGUAAAGCACUUUAAGUUGGGAGGAAGGGCAGUAAGUUAAUACCUUGCUGUUUUGACGUUACCAACAGAAUAAGCACCGGCUAACUUCGUG
rnacentral:rRNA from 1 species